UACGUAGGGACCGAGCGUUGUCCGGAUUCAUUAGGCGUAAAGAGCUCGUAGGCGGCCACUCAAGUCGAAUGUGAAACCUCGAGGCUUAACCUCGAGCCUGCAUUCGAUACUGGGCGGCUAGAGUCUGGUAGGGGGAUCUGGAAUUCCUGGUGUAGCGGUGGAAUGCGCAGAUAUCAGGAGGAACACCGGUGGCGAAGGCGGGAUCCUGGGCCAGUACUGACGCUGAGGAGCGAAAGCGUGGGGAGCAAACAGG
rnacentral:rRNA from 1 species